GUGGGUAUAGCUCAGUUGGUUAGAGCGCCCGGCUCAUAACCGGUAGGUCUGGGGUUCGAGUCCCUNAGCUCCAUG
rnacentral:tRNA from 1 species